UGCCAGCAGCCGCGGUAAUACGGAGGGCGCAAGCGUUGUUCGGAAUCAUUGGGCGUAAAGCGCGUGUAGGCUGUCAGGUAAGUCGGGUGUGAAAGCCCGGGGCUCAACCCCGGAAAUGCACUCGAUACUGCCUGACUGGAGUCCCGGAGGGGAGAGCAGAAUUCCCGGUGUAGAGGUGAAAUUCGUAGAUAUCGGGAGGAAUACCAGUGGCGAAGGCGGCUCUCUGGACGGUGACUGACGCUGAGACGCGAAAGCGUGGGGAGCAAACAGGAUUAGAUAC
rnacentral:rRNA from 1 species